rnacentral:rRNA from 1 species
UACGUAGGGUGCAAGCGUUGUCCGGAAUUAUUGGGCGUAAAGAGCUCGUAGGCGGUUUGUCGCGUCGGCUGUGAAAACUCGGGGCUCAACCCCGAGCCUGCAGUCGAUACGGGCAGACUAGAGUGCGGUAGGGGAGACUGGAAUUCCUGGUGUAGCGGUGAAAUGCGCAGAUAUCAGGAGGAACACCGGUGGCGAAGGCGGGUCUCUGGGCCGAUAUUGACGCUGAGGAGCGAAAGCAUGGGGAGCGAACAGG